UUUGUAUCUGUUCCCUGUAGGCAAAAGCUAGGAAGAACCUUUCUGCGCUGAAGCUGCCCCAUCGUUCUGCAGGGAGGCUGCCUAGAGUACAGUUUUUGGGGCAGCUCAUGAUUCACUGCAGCAAGAAAGAAAAAGGCUCAUCUCCCUUUUUGUCCCCGCUUUGCACACACGAGACCUUUCCAUCAGCCCUUUAAGUCUCUUGACGUGGAGAACUAGCCAGCUCUUUUGCUACGUUUUUCUUCCCAGCCCAAGCGAGCUCACAUGGCACAUGCAAGACUGCAACACGGACCAGUGUCAGCACAAGGGGAUACCAGGAAUACAGGGGUAAAGGCAAAGAGAAGAAGAAAAGAAAAAAAAACAACCAACAAACAAACCCCC